CCCUUAGAUGUUCGGGGCCGCACGCGCGCUACACUGAAGGAAUCAGCACGUCUUUCUCCUUGUCCGAAAGGACUGGGUAACCCGCUGAACCUCCUUCGUGCUAGGGAUUGGGGCUUGUAAUUCUUCCCCAUGAACGAGGAAUUCCCAGUAAGCGCGAGUCAUAAGCUCGCGUUGAUUACGUCCCUGCCCUUUGUACACACCGCCCGUCGCUACUACCGAUUGGAUGGUUUAGUGAGAUCCUCGGAUUGGUCCCGGAGCGGCCUCCGGUCGUGCCGGAGUGCCGAAAAGAAUGUCGAACUUGAUCAUCUAGAGGAAGUAAAAGUCGUAACA
rnacentral:rRNA from 1 species